GGCUCGAGUCAUCAAACACCCCCGCUUCCAUUUUUUUGGUUAAUGAUGCAAAUUCAUAGAGGUCAAACUCUGAUCUUAGGCACUCUUAAGAGAAUUUUAUAAUCCUAAGGUGGGGAACAAAGAGCUUACAAGUGCCACACACUUUGUUAUUAUAAAAUCCAUAUUCCAUGAUCUGUUUUUGUUUGGUAUGACGUGGCAAUACGUCUUAAAAGACUUUUUUUUUUUGUAUUUGACCAGAAAGAUAUUUGACCAUUAACAGAAGAACUGCAACUGGCGAGGGAAAAAAACAUUAUUACAUUCCUUGACUUCAUUAUUAGAAACCAAUCAUACGUUUGUCCUAA